UGCGUAGGCGGAAUAUUAAGUCAGUGGUGAAAGCCUACAGCUCAACUGUAGAACUGCCAUUGAUACUGAUAUUCUUGAGUAUAGUUGUAGUGGGCGGAAUAUAUCAUGUAGCGGUGAAAUGCUUAGAUAUGAUAUAGAACACCGAUCGCGAAGGCAGCUCACUAAGCUAUAACUGACGCUCAGGCACGAAAGCGUGGGGAGCAAACAGGAUUAGAUACCCUGGUAGUCC
rnacentral:rRNA from 1 species